UACGGUAGGCAGCGAGCGUUGUUCGGAAUGACUGGGCGUAAAGCGCGCGUAGGCGGAUCGGAUAGUUGGGGGUGAAAGCCCGGGGCUCAACCCUGGAACGGCCUCCAAGACUGCCGGUCUUGAGUUCGAGAGAGGUGGGUGGAAUUCCGAGUGUAGAGGUGAAAUUCGUAGAUAUUCGGAGGAACACCAGUGGCGAAGGCGGCCCACUGGCGUCGACACUGACGCUGAGGUGCGAAAGCGGAUGGGGAGCAAACAGGGGAAUUAAGAU
rnacentral:rRNA from 1 species